UGGGGAAUAUUGCACAAUGGGCGCAAGCCUGAUGCAGCCAUGCCGCGUGUGUGAAGAAGGCCUUCGGGUUGUAAAGCACUUUCAGCGGGGAGGAAGGCGAUAAGGUUAAUAACCUUGUCGAUUGACGUUACCCGCAGAAGAAGCACCGGCUAACUCCGUGCCAGCAGCCGCGGUAAUACGGAGGGUGCAAGCGUUAAUCGGAAUUACUGGGCGUAAAGCGCACGCAGGCGGUCUGUCAAGUCGGAUGUGAAAUCCCCGGGCUUAACCUGGGAACUGCAUUCGAAACUGGCAGGCUAGAGUCUUGUAGAGGGGGGUAGAAUUCCAGGUGUAGCGGUGAGAUGCGUAGAGAUCUGGAGGAAUACCGGUGGCGAAGGCGGCCCCCUGGACAAAGACUGACGCUCAGGUGCGAAAGCGUGGGGAGCAAACAGG
rnacentral:rRNA from 1 species